rnacentral:rRNA from 1 species
CAGCAGCAGCCACGGUAAUACGAAGGGUGCAAGCGUUACUCGGAAUUACUGGGCGUAAAGCGUGCGUAGGUGGUGGUUUAAGUCCGUUGUGAAAGCCCUGGGCUCAACCUGGGAAUUGCAGUGGAUACUGGGUCACUAGAGUGUGGUAGAGGAUAGUGGAAUUUCCGGUGUAGCAGUGAAAUGCGUAGAGAUCGGAAGGAACAUCUGUGGCGAAGGCGACUAUCUGGGCCAACACUGACACUGAGGCACGAAAGCGUGGGGAGCAAACAGGAUUAGAUACCCCAGUAGUCCCUGUCUCUUAUAC